GACCCACAGGCACCAUCGUUUGACCCUCCAGCAGCAACACCGACUCACCGGCCUUCCUCCUUCACACCUCCAAAGAAAACAAAAUACUGCUUAGAGCAUUUGGCUGGGGAGUUAUAAGAAAAUGGGUUGAGAUACAGAACUGCUUUAGGAUCAAGAAAGAGUUCUUACAUGCAUCAUCAACAACUCCGACUCCAAAAAUAAAGGAGAGUGGGCCAAAAGAGGAUUUGCAAAACACUGGCAGUGAAAGGCAAUACUAACUUGUGAUUAUUGGUGGAGUUUGUGGUGGGGCAGCUGCAACAGUUAGGACUAUAUAUAUAUUGAAAUCUUUAUCUUUGAGCAGCCAGCCAGAGAAUGCCUAAUGCAAAGCAAAAGAAUAAAAGGUUGAUGUCCCAACCACCAAUAGAAUCUAAUUCCGAAACAAAUCAACCAAGUCUAGCAAAUGAUGUCCAAAACUCUAGCCAACCAUCAAAUACUUUCCCACAGUCCAGUCGAAAUAGUGAUUCGGAGCGCACUAUAUCAGCAUCACCAAAUAAUGUUCCAUCACCUCCAACUUCACCAAGCAGCAGGCCCACAGUACUCCCCAUUGGGAACAAAUCGUUUGAGCCAUGGGGUGCAAAUAGAGAUGUUAUCGAAUGUGUUACUAGAAUAUUCCCUGAUGCUGUGAAAUCAUACAAUGACGCUCCUAGACAUAU